UACAGAGGUGCUCAAGCGUUUGUUCGGAUUCAUUGGGCGUAAAGGGUGCGUAGGUGGCGCCGUAAGUCAGGUGUGAAAUCUCGGGGCUCAACCCCGAAACUGCACUUGAUACUGCGGUGCUCGAGUACUGGAGAGGAGAUUGGAAUUUACGGUGUAGCAGUGAAAUGCGUAGAUAUCGUAAGGAAGACCAGUGGCGAAGGCGAAUCUCUGGACAGUUACUGACACUGAGGCACGAAGGCCAGGGGAGCAAACGGG
rnacentral:rRNA from 1 species